rnacentral:tRNA from 1 species
UAGGAUUUAGUGUAGUGGUAGCACAAAGAUUUUUGAGGUCUUUGGUUUAGGUUCAAGGCCUAAAGUCCUAG